UACGGGGGGGGCAAGCGUUGUUCGGAAUUACUGGGCGUAAAGGGCUCGUAGGUGGCCAACUAAGUCAGACGUGAAAUCCCUCAGCUUAACUGGGGAACUGCGUCUGAUACUGGAUGGCUUGAGUUUGGGAGAGGGAUGCGGAAUUCCAGGUGUAGCAGUGAAAUGCGUAGAUAUCGUAAGGAAGACCAGUGGCGAAGGCGGAUCUCUGGACAGCUACUGACACUGAGGCACGAAGGCCAGGGGAGCAAACGGG
rnacentral:rRNA from 1 species